rnacentral:misc_RNA from 1 species
AUCGACACGGCAAAGCAAAAAAGACCAGAGGAUCUAGGGUUCCCUUGGAUCUCUCUGUGAAUUUCUGUAUCUCUAGAUAAAUCGAUUACUAUUCUCUCUCUAUUUUCCCUGUAAUUCUCUACUUCGAUCAUAUGUAAAUUUCGUACAUUUAAGUGGUUUUCAGAACGGGUAAGUUGAUUUUAUGAAGGUAUUUGACACAGUUCAAAUCUAGCUUUUAUGGUUUUCGAAUCUGAGAGUAGAGUUAUAUGCUCAAAUCAAACAUUGAAACGUUAAAUAGAAAUUAGAAAUUGGGAAUCGAAGCAAAGGGAAAGGGGGAAGUUUUGAGAGUGCAUUUCUUGAUCUGUAAAUAUGCGGGGAUUGCAGAAAUCAAAAAGAGUUUCUUGGGCAACGGAUGUUAAUCUUUGUCAGGUAAAAGUGCCAACCUUCCAAGGAAUCUUAUAGAUUCUUGACUAAAUUGCAGCCUAUUUGAUAAAUUCUUAUAUUAUGACUUCAUUCACCGGAUAAGCUAAAACAUACUCGGGAGUGGAAGUGAAACCUAAUUGCUAUGCUGUUUUUAGAUCAUCGUUGUUUGUUUUGUUUUAUCAUUUUAUCAUUUAUGUUUGAAAAAAAUGGUUCUUUUUCCCUCUUCUAUUGGCCACCUUGUUUGUAUUUUGUACUUAACUGUAAUGGCGUUAGCAUUUGUUUUAGUCUUGUCAAUACUAAAUCUUUCUAAUGAAUAACGGGUUGCUCUGCAUUUCUAUAUUGAAGAAGAAACUCGCAAUUGAUAAGGGAAAAUGAAUUCAUAUGAAUCGUAUGGCAUGGCGUUUGAAUUUAGAAACUGGUCAAAAGCUUCGAGCCUGUCAUUGUAGUUAAGUUCCAUAAUGAAAACUUUAAUACAGGAAGGCACUUGUUUUAUAAUCCUUGCUAUCCUUUUCCAAGUGCUGUGCAAGACAAGGUGAUUUCUUAUGGAGGUUUGAAGUAUCUAAGUUCUUUUACUGGCAAACAGCGUCUUUGGUUACAGAGACAUUUGCUAAAUAAAUAAAAUUGACCUUGAAUUUAGAAAAUUACUGUAUUCAAGGUGAAUCUUUUUGCUGUGCCAUUAGUGUUCUAAUCAUAUGAUACUAGUAUUUUUUUUUUAUAUACAAUAUUUCAUGUACAAAUCAGGCCAGGCUCUCUUUAUUUUUCUUGAUCUUAUUUUCUUUUGCUUGGGCACUUGAAAUUCAGAUUCUUAUGAAUUUCUAAAAUUUUUAUCCCGACUCCUGAGCAUGGAACUAUGUUGACACAUUCUUAUUAAGGUAAUGGCAAAAGUAAUUUGAUGUUAACAAUGUUAAUUUUCACUGUAAUUUGAGUCAUUGAUAAGAUGACAGCGCCAGCUGGCUCCCAAUAGUCACUCUUAUGAAAUCAUUUUCAUGGAUGUUACAUUUUUAUAACUUGUUAUUUCAUAUAAUUCGGGUAAAGACCUCAUAAAUUUUUCAGUAUCUUUAGUUCCUUUGGGCUUUUGAGUUCUAGUUAAACUUGUUGAGAAGGGUGGGGAUUAGGGUGGAAUGAGAUAGCACAUGGGCAUAUUAUAGAGGAAAUUACUAUGUUUUGGCAGAACAUCUAACGAUGAUUAAGUUGGUGGCAUUUUUAUGAGUAGAUCUACUUAGGGUGGCGGGUGGCCUUAUUGUUCUUGAAUGCUCAUAUUGAUUAAGAUGCGCUAUUUGGUUUUGUUGAUGGUGUUUAGACUUGCCGUUUAAUCUGAGACUUGAAACAAUGAGGAAAGAACUUAAGCUUCAUUUUUCAUGCUGAAAAUUUUUUAUAGUUGACAGAAGAAAUAAGGGGGAAAAAGGAAAAGAAGAAAGAAUCUCACAAUUGCUAUGGAGGUUCUUGUUUUGUCUUACCUGUGAAAUUCAUCUUAAAUACACCUGGAGAUGACAAUAUUAACUUUCUAAUUAGCUUGUAUGUGCGCAGAUCAGGAUGAAAAUAGAUAAAUUGUGUGAAUUCAUGUCAUCAAGUUGAUAAAUUUGCAUUUAGUAUUUCCCCCAAUCAUUUAGAUAGUCAAUACUCUGUUUUGACCGCAUAUUCCCAUUUCAACAUCAGGGGAAUUUCCCUUCAUUUAUAAAUACUACAUAAAUAUGGAUCGGAGAAAAAAGAUUUGGAUAUUCAUAUGAAGUUGUACUUACUCUCUUAUUUCUGUGCAUGCUAGAUCCCUUAUCAUUUCUUUAUGCUCUUUCUAUUUCAAUUGCUGCAGAGAGUUUCUGUUGUACGGCAAGCAUCAACCUUUUUUAUGAUCUUGUUCAAUUUGUGAUGAUAACUAUGAAUUAUGAAGGCUCAGUAAUUGACUCCUGCAUGCUUGUCCCUUUAACAGGUUAGGCUGUUCCUAUCGGAGGAAUCUCCUUCACAAGUUGGAUUGGGUACCCAAGAUCACCUCCAAGCAAAAGCAUCAUGGCUGUCCCAUCCAGCUGGCACAACUGCUGAUGAAAUUCUUCCUCCUGGUUUUGAAGGUCUUUCUGCCAACCAGUUGCACAUUAAGUUGUCUGACAUCUCUAUAAUCAAGUGGAGAUGUCCUCCCAGGUUUAUCUUGGACUUAACCUGGCAAGUGGUUUCGGGCGAAGAAAGCAAAGAGGUGGAGGUUCAAAAUCAGAGAGAGAUGAGAGUUCUUGAAGCUGUUUAUCCUCGCACAUCUGCCAUUCCUUCAAAGUUUGAAACUAUGAUUGCAUUCCUUGAUCUUCUUCUUUUGUUUCCUACUUCUGGCCUAAAACUUUCUUCUCUUUAUGCAGCCCCACAUUCUCUGCAGACUUAGCAGACUCUCGAAAUAGUGAUCUUGAAGUUCCUCUGAUUCCAAUUACUCCCAUUGAAGAUGAAGAUGCAACUGAUGCACCUUCUGAUUUAAUGGGACCAUUUAAUGUUCCUGUGAGCUCACAGUCCCAACUAUUAGCUUCUGGAAUUCCACCUCCUCAAUGCAGCAUUCCUUCCAUUUCCAGUACUCCUGUCAAUGAGAAACCUGCUUCUGGAGCACUCCUUGGUGUUGAACCUGAUGUAGUAGCUGCUGCAUCAGCUGCCUUUGCUGCCAUUAAUAAAAGCAAUGAGCAGGGAAGUUUGAUAGACCAUGAUCUGCUCAUUAAAAUUCUCAACAACCCUAAAUUGAUUGAGAAGUUGAUUCUAGAUUAUGGAGCUGCCUCCAAUGUGCAGAGCAUCCCUAAGUCAUCUGCAUCUUUUGUCCCUUCAUCAGACGUUCCUCCUCCUCCUCCUCCUCCUCAGUACUCAUAUCCAAGGCAAAUCCAUCAAAGUCACCCUUUUCAAUUCCCUUAUUUCCUAUCAUAAUCGAAUUGAGCUUAGAGCUUUGGAAGCAGAAACGCAGAGGAAGAGUGAAGAGAGCGAUUUUUAUUUUUUCUAUUUUAGGGAGAUUAUUUUUUUUUUAUUUAUUUAACGAUUAAAUAUGAGAAAAAUAAUCGUUAAAGCUUGGGCUAUCACACUGGCAGAGGCUUUCAGGAAGUGCUUGGGCGGUGGUUCAUCAGAUCAAUGUUUGCUUCGGCCGGACCGUGAAGCGAAGUAGAGCACAUUAGGUUAGAAGAUAGAAAGAAAA